UUCAGGUUUUCUCCGUGUUAUUCCUGUGUAUGUGUUUGGAUCAGUUGGUGUUGUUUUACUGAACUCUGUUGCUCUGAUGACUGAACUGAUCCUCAAAACAGUUAAUGGUGAAGGUGUGACGGGAGACAUGAGGAUUGUCGUCUUCUCCUCUGAAUUCAUCUUCACUUUAUUUCUGAUGAUUUUACUGGUGUUUGAACCCUGGAUCAAACCAUGUCUGCAGUCUUGUCAGGUUAGUAUCAGAUUUAAUGUAAAUCAGAU